rnacentral:lncRNA from 1 species
GAGUUUCAAAAGAUUACAUUGUUCCCCAACAACAAAGGGUUUAGUUCACCAUAAUCAUGGUGAAACUAGAUGAAAAUAAUGAAAGAAUGAAAGAGAUAACCCUAAACUUGGUUGAAUGGAGCCUAAGCAUCCAAGGAACCUCCUCCAAGGUGUAUGGAAUAGCUUUGGACGGUUCUCUCUACCAAAAGAAUCCCUAUCUAAUUCGCAUUGGGGCUAUAUACAAGCCCAAAAAGGUAACAGAUAGAUAACAGAAAGAUUUACAGAAUCUAGCUAAAAAACCAGACAACUGCCCAGGCGCCUAAUUUGAUCGCUCAGCGGUUUGCGUCUAGCCGCUCUGACCGCUCAGCGGCUAGUUUUUCCGCUUAGCGGUUUCCCUCUAAUCGCUCUGAGCGCUCAGCGGACCAUUCUGGCGCUCAGCGGCUUGCUUGACCCUUCUUUUCAUCAUUUUUCCCCUUCUUUCAUGGGUCUAAGUCCACCUUACUUCACUUCCUUCUUUAUUUCAUCUAAAAACCCUGCAAAACAAUGCAAAACAAUGCAAAACAAGCAUAAUAUCUCUAAAACCAACUUUUGACUCUCAAGAGACUCAACUAAGUGUUUUACUUGAUUUAAAGCUCAUUCUAAGCCACAAAGGGUGUGUUUUACUAUCAAAUUUAAGUAUGAAAAUAACGGUUUUAGACCGUUAUCAGGAUUAUUUGAGGGAAGCUCUUGA